rnacentral:rRNA from 1 species
GUGCCAGCAGCCGCGCUAAUUCCAGCUCCAAUAGCGUAUAUUAAAGUUGUUGUGGUUAAAAAGCUCGUAGUUGAACCUUGGGCCUGGCUGGCCGGUCCGCCUCACCGCGUGCACUGGUCCGGCCGGGCCUUUCCCUCUGUGGAACCCCAUACCCUUCACUGGGCGUGGCGGGGAAACAGGACAUUUACUUUGAAAAAAUUAGAGUGCACCAGGCAGGCCUAUGCUCGAAUACAUUAGCAUGGAAUAAUAAAAUAGGACGCGCGGUUCUAUUUUGUUGGUUUAUAGGACCGCCGUAAUGAUUAAUAGGGACAGUCGGGGGCAUCAGUAUUCAACUGUCAGAGGUGAAAUUCUUGGAUCAGUUGAAGACUAACUACUGCGAAAGCAUUUGCCAAGGAUGUUUUCAUUAAUCAGGAACGAAAGUUAGGGGAUCGAAGACGAUCAGAUACCGUCGUAGUCUUAACCAUAAACUAUGCCGACUAGGGAUCGGACGGUGUUAUUCAUGACCCGUUCGGCACCUUACGAGAAAUCAAAGUGCUUGGGCUCCAGGGGGAGUAUGGUCGCAAGGCUGAGACUUAAAGAAAUUGACGGAAGGGCACCACCAGGGGUGGAGCCUGCGGCUUAAUUUGACUCAACACGGGGAAACUCACCAGGUCCAGACACAAUAAGGAUUGACAGAUUGAGAGCUCUUUCUUGAUUUUGUGGGUGGUUGUGCAUGGCGCUUCUUAGUUGGUGGGGUGACUUGUCUGCUUAAUUGCGAUAGCGAACGAGACCUUAACCUGCUAAAUAGCCUGCAUGGUUCCGGCAGUGCGCUGGCUUCUUAGAGGGACUUCGGCUCAAUGCGAGGAGAUUGAUGCAUAACAGGCUUGGAUGGCCUUACUAGUUUUGGCCGAACGGCCGCUCCAUGCGGGUCAGGAGUUCUUUGUUGAAGGCCCGGGAAAUCAUGUUAGAACGCGUUGUCUUGGAGAGGU